CUAGUACUCCCUCCGUCCGAAAAUACUUGUCAUCAAAAUGGACAAAAAGGGAUGUAUCUAGAACUAAAAUAUGUCUAGAUACAUCUCCUUUUAUUCAUUUCGAUGACAAGUAUUUCCGGACGGAGGGAGUAGGAU
rnacentral:pre_miRNA from 1 species